AACGAACGCUGGCGGCAUGCCUAACACAUGCAAGUCGAACGAAGCCUUCGGGCUUAGUGGCGCACGGGUGCGUAACGCGUGGGAAUCUGCCCUUGGGUUCGGAAUAACAGUUAGAAAUGACUGCUAAUACCGGAUGAUGUCUUCGGACCAAAGAUUUAUCGCCCAAGGAGGAGCCCGCGUAGGAUUAGGUAGUUGGUGGGGUAAUGGCCCACCAAGCCGACGAUCCUUAGCUGGUCCGCGAGGAUGAUCAGCCACACUGGGACUGAGACACGGCCCAGUCUCCGUCGGGAGUCAACAGUGGGGAAUAUUGGACAAUGGGCGAAAGCCUGAUCCAGCAAUGCCGCGGGAGUGAUGAAGGCCUUAGGGUUGUAAAGCUCUUUUACCAGGGAUGAUAAUGACAGUACCUGGAGAAUAAGCUCCGGCUAACUCCGUGCCAGCAGCCGCCGCCGUAA
rnacentral:rRNA from 1 species